CAGAGGGUUCGAUCAGCGGCUCAGAUUGAACGCUGGCGGGAUGCUUUACACAUGCAAGUCGAACGGUAAACGGGGACUUCGGUCUGGUGGAGUGGCGAACGGUGAGUAAUGACGGAACGCCUAGUAGCGGGGGAUAACUACGCGAAAGCAGGCUAAUACCAAAUAUUAAACAGCCCUUCGGGGGAAAGCGGGGGACCUUCGGGCCUCGCACUAUUAGAGCGGCCGAUAUCGGAUUAGCUAGUUGGUGGGUAACGCUCACCAAGGCGACGAUCCGUAGCUGGUUUGAGAGGACGACCAGCCACACUGGGACUGGAGACACGGCCCAGACUCCUACGGAGGCAGCAGUGGGGAAUUUUGGACAAUGGGGGAACCCUGAUCCAGCCAUCCCGCGUGUGCGAUGAAGGCCUUCGGGUUGUAAAGCACUUGGCAGGAAAAAGAAACGGCACGGAUAAUACCCCGUGCAACUGACGGUACUGCAGAAUAAGCACCGGCUAACUACGUGCCAGCAGCCGCGGUAAUACGUAGGGUAAGUGUUGGUCUGGAAUUACUGGGCGUAAAGCGUGCAGGCGGUUCGGAAAGAAAGAUGUGAAAUCCCAGAGCUUAACUCUUUGGAACUGCAUUUUUAACUACCGAGCUAGAGUGUGUCAGAGGGAGGUGGAAUUCCGCGUGUAGCAGGAAUGCGUAGAUAUGAGGAAAUAACAUCGACAAGUGAAGGCAGCCUCCUGGGAUAACACUGACGCUCAUGCACGAAAGCGUGGGGACAAACAGGAUUAGAUACCCUGGUAGUCCACGCCCUAAACGAUGUCAACUAGCUGCUGGGGCCUUCGGGCUCGUAGCGCAGCUAACGCAGAAGUUGGACCGCCUGGGGAGUACGGUCGCAAGAUUAAGUCCCACAAAGGAAUUGAUGGGGACCCGCACAAACGUGGAUGAUGUGUGGAUUAAUUCGAUGCAACGAAAACCUACCUACCCUUGACAUGUCUUGGAAUCCCGAAGAGAUUUGGGAGUGCUCGCAAGAGAACCGGAACACAGGUGCUGCAUGGCUGUCGUCAGCUCGUGUCGUGAGAUGUUGCUAAGUCCCGCAACGAGCGCAACCCUUGUCAUUAGUUGCUACGAAAGGGCACUCUAAUGAGACUGCCGGUGACAAACCGAGGAAGUGGGGAUGACGUCAAGUCCUCAUGGCCCUUAUGGGUAGGGCUUCACACGUCAUACAAUGGUCGGGACAGAGGGUCGCCAACCCGCGAGGGGAGCCAAUCCCAGAAACCCGAUCGUAGUCCGGAUCGCAGUCUGCAACUCGACUGCGUGAAGUCGGAAUCGCUAGCACUAUGAUCAGCAUGUCGCGGUGAAUACGUUCCCGGGUCUUGUACACACCGCCCGUCACACCAUGGGAGUGGGUUUUACCAGAAGUAGUUAGCCUAACCGUAAGGAGGGCGAUUACCACGGUAAGAUUCAUGACUGGGGUGAAGUCGUAAUAAGGUAG
rnacentral:rRNA from 1 species